GAUGAAGAACGUAGCGAAAUGCGAUACUUGGUGUGAAUUGCAGAAUCCCGUGAACCAUCGAGUCUUUGAACGCAAGUUGCGCCUCAAGCCAUUAGGUUGAGGGCACGUCUGCCUGGGCGUCACAUAUCGUUGCCUGAUGCCAGUUUCCUCGUGAUGGGUGACUGUGCAGGGCGAAUGAUGGCUUCCCGUGAGCAUUGUUGCCUCAUGGUUGGUUGAAAAUUGAGUCCUUGGUAGGGAGCGCCGUGAUAGAUGGUGGUUGAGUGACGAACGAGACCCAAUCAUGUGAGACCCCUACCGAAUUUGGCCUUCAUGACCCACAUGCGUCUUUGGAACGCUCAUGACGAGACCUCAGGUCAGGCGGGGCUACCCGCUGAGUUUAAGCAUAUCAAUGCGGAGGA
rnacentral:misc_RNA from 1 species